AACGAACGCUGGCGGCAUGCCUAACACAUGCAAGUCGAACGAGACCUUCGGGUCUAGUGGCGCACGGGUGCGUAACGCGUGGGAACCUGCCCUUAGGUUCGGAAUAACUCCCCGACAGGGGUGCUAAUACCGGAUAAUGUCUUCGGACCAAAGAUUUAUCGCCUUUGGAUGGGCCCGCGUUGGAUUAGCUAGUUGGUAGGGUAAAAGCCUACCAAGGCGACGAUCCAUAGCUGGUCUGAGAGGAUGAUCAGCCACACUGGGACUGAGACACGGCCCAGACUCCUACGGGAGGCAGCAGUGGGGAAUGUUGGACAAUGGGCGAAAGCCUGAUCCAGCAAUGCCGCGUGAGUGAUGAAGGCCUUAGGGUUGUAAAGCUCUUUUACCCGGGAUGAUAAUGACAGUACCGGGAGAAUAAGCUCCGGCUAACUCCGUG
rnacentral:rRNA from 1 species